rnacentral:misc_RNA from 1 species
AACGCACCUUGCGCUCCUUGGUAUUCUGAGGAGCAUGCCUGUUUGAGUGUCAUUAAAUUCUCAACCUCAUCAGUUUUGUUAACAAGACAGGUGAAGGCUUGGAUGUGGGGGUUUUGCAGGCUGCCUCAGUGCUGGUCUGCUCCCCUGAAAUGCAUUAGCCGAGCUCAUUGAGCCUCCGUCUAUUGGUGUGAUAAUUAUCUACGCCGUGGAUUGGACUCAUGCUUGCUUCUAACCGUCCGCAAGGACAAUCUACUUGACCAAUUUGACCUCAAAUCAGGUAGGACUACCCGCUGAACUUAA